rnacentral:rRNA from 1 species
UACGUAGGUGGCAAGCGUUGUCCGGAUUUACUGGGCGUAAAGAGCGCGCAGGCGGUCGAUUUAGUCGCGUGUGAAAGCCCCCGGCUCAACUGGGGAGGGUCACGCGAUACUGAUCGACUCGAAGGCAGGAGAGGGUAGUGGAAUUCCCGGUGUAGUGGUGAAAUGCGUAGAUAUCGGGAGGAACACCAGUGGCGAAGGCGGCUCACUGGCCCGAUACUGACGCUGAGGUGCGAAAGCGUGGGGAGCAAACAGG